CUUGCUUCGCGCGCGAGUUUCCCGAUAGGGUUUUUUUUUUGCGGAGUUUGUGUCUUUUUAGCUUUCGGUUCGAUGUUUUUGUUCGAUUAAUCGUUUUGUAGGGAUAAAAAAAAGCCUCAUAACAAUAGGAACGGGAAAAAAAAUUGCUAACCGAAAUGAAUCCACCCAAAAAAUUAAAAACCUACGCGCGAGUUUGACUCGAAAGUAUGGGGUGUGACAACUUUCUUUAUUGACACGACAGCAAUGUUGGGUCAUGUAUGUUGACAUAUUGAUUCUUGAAUGUGGAGGGAACCCUUACGAUGCAGUGUCAUUGGCUGAGAAAUCGGCUCUUUUUUUGCAACACAAAUUCCAUCUAUUAAAAUAGCAACCAUGGACGGAUAUCAACCUGAUGUGGAGCUCUCAGAUGAUCUUUAUGAUACCAAGAGACUAAACACAGAGAACAUUCCUUGUGUACUGACUUUGAUGCAGAUUGGAAACCAUUUAGUAGUUCCAACCCCAAAAGAAAAAUGCUGCAGCUUUUCUGGUAUUAAAAUGAUUACUGCUGUUAGGGAAAUUGACAGUUGUAAGACAUAAGCUAUGAUAUUCUUAAAGAUGGAACUUUUAGAGAAAUAACAUUUAAGCGAUGAUAUAAAUCUUCCAAGAGUUCACCUUUACUUAUCUCUUCGUAACCUAGGUUGACUAUAUAAUUUCUUUAUCAUCGCCCCUUGUCUGAAUUAAAGUGCUUUUGGUAUGAAAAAGAAACGGCAAAUAAAGCGGCAAUUCAAGCAUUUAUUGUAAAUAGGACAGGAGAUUUUUCUUUUAUAAUUGUGGGCUACAUAAGUUCAUGAAUAGGUCAAAGCCGAUACUUACUGAUUCGGGUGGUUAUCAAGUCAUACUCGACGUAUGACGUCAUGACGUAACAUCGAAAUUACGUAAAAUUACAGAAGUCUUGUUGCUUUUUUCAGUUAAUUUCGAACCAUUAUUUAUAGUAUUUAAAUUUAUAUAAAUAACAUAUAAGGUUAAUAACCACCCUAAACAAGAUAAGAUUUUUGAUAGAUUAAUUGAACGUUUAUAGGAUGAAAUUACGGCUCUAUUUCUCUUAUCUAUGAAGGGAAUUUUGACUAAAAUUUUCGACCGCACA